AAGUAGGUUGCUGGGCAGGUUGCUCGACCAAAAAAAGCUCGGCUAGUGAUUUUUUAGGCUCGAUCUCGAAAUGUUCACGGCCAUUAGCAGCCGUAGGAAAAUUUGCAGCACCCAAAUCGACCGAAAGUGAAUUGGUUCCCGCAAAGAGGUCACAGAAGGCAACAUCGAAGCGCUGAAACGACGCCAAAUAGCAAGAGCCUGCAAAGAUCCGGAAGGCGGCUAGUAUUCGACAUCGAAGAGCACUGAGACGACGUUAGAGUGGAAGGACUUGUGAAGAUUCUCAGGACGACGGCAUUCGACAUUGCAGCCCACAGUUAAUAGCAGCCGUCGGACGGUUUCGCCGAUAUCGAAGCGACUUCAUGCGACAGCCGAUCGAAGAAGGGCACCGACAACCUGUAUCAGAAGAGAGAGAGAGAGCAUUGUCCUCGAGCAACCACAAAGUGCUACUAGCGUACUCAAGCGACGACCGGAUAGAAGCAACCUGUGAGAUUCCGUCCCAGGCAGAGCUUCUUGCAUUCCGCCCGCAGCAAGAACAAAGACCCCUUCCGGAGGGGUCUUUUCUCUUGGCCUAUUUUUGCAGCAUCCUACGUUCCACUGAUCAGGCCGGAUCACCGAGUCGAAACGACGGAGAUAAAUCUGCGGAGAUCGUCUGGGACCUAGGCGAAGGCCGGUGGUAUAAAUUCGACCCACGCAUUACUC